GAAAUAUAUAAUAAUUAAACUUCUAAUUUAAUUUAUAGUGAUUUAUAUCAUUAAUAUUUCU
rnacentral:tRNA from 1 species